CCUACGGGUGGCAGCAGUGAGGAAUAUUGGUCAAUGGGCGCGAGCCUGAACCAGCCAAGUAGCGUGAAGGAUGACUGCCCUACGGGUUGUAAACUUCUUUUAUACAGGAAUAAAGUUAGGCACGUGUGCCUUUUUGUAUGUACUUUAUGAAUAAGGAUCGGCUAACUCCGUGCCAGCAGCCGCGGUAAUACGGAGGAUCCGAGCGUUAUCCGGAUUUAUUGGGUUUAAAGGGAGCGUAGAUGGGUUGUUAAGUUAGUUGUGAAAUGUUGCGGCUCAACCGGAAAAUUGCAAUUGAUACUGGCAGUCUUGAGUACAGGUGAGGUAGGCGGAAUUCGUGGUGUAGCGGUGAAAUGCUUAGAGAUCACGAAGAACUCCGAUUGCGAAGGCAGCUUACUAAACUGUCACUGACAUUGAUGCUCGAAAGCGUGGGGAGCAAACAGGAUUAGAUACCCGAGUAGUC
rnacentral:rRNA from 1 species